rnacentral:misc_RNA from 1 species
CCGAGUUUACAACUCCCAAACCCCUGUGAACAUACCUAUUGUUGCUUCGGCGGACACGCCCCGGCGCCCCCGUGCCCGGAACCAGGCGCCCGCCGGAGGACCACAAACCAUGUCUUACUAUAGUGGUAUCAUCUGAGUGGCACAAACAAAUAAAUCA